GAUGAAGAACGUAGCGAAAUGCGAUAAGUAGUGUGAAUUGCAGAAUUCAGUGAAUCAUCGAAUCUUUGAACGCACAUUGCGCCCCUUGGUAUUCCAUGGGGCAUGCCUGUUCGAGCGUCAUUUGUACCUUCAAGCUUUGCUUGGUGUUGGGUGUUUGUCUCGCCUUUGCGUGUAGACUUGCCUUAAAAUAAUUGGCAGCCGGCGUAUUGAUUUCGGAGCGCAGUACAUCUCGCGCUUUGCACUCAUAACGACAGCGUCCAAAAGUACAUUUUACACUCUUGACCUCGGAUCAGGUAGGGAUACCCGCUGAACUUAAGCAUAUCAAUAAGCGGAGGA
rnacentral:misc_RNA from 1 species